rnacentral:rRNA from 1 species
AGCUUGAAAGCUAGCUCUAAACCCCCAAAACUCAACAAUAAAUUAGUUAUAACCCCUAAUAACCUAAGAAACCCCAAACAAACCAUUUUUCCCCCUUAGUAUGGAAGACAGAAAAGGAUAUAUGAAGCAAUAACUGAAGUACCGCAAGGGAACGCUGAAAGAGAAAUGAAAGAAAUCAACAAUAGCACAACAAAGCAGAGUUUAACCCUCGUACCUUUUGCAUCAUGGGUUAGCAAGAAAAAAUUGAGCAAAAAGAGUUUUAGUUCAAUCCCCCGAAACCAAGUGAGCUACCCCAAGACAGCCUAUUAAGGGCGAACCCGUCUCUGUGGCAAAAGAGUGGGAUGAGCUUCGGGUAGCGGUGACAGACCUACCGAACUUGGUUAUAGCUGGUUGUCCAAGAAUUGAAUAGAAGUUCAGCCUUUUGUCUUCUACCCCCAACUUAAAUUUAUACUUAAGCGAUAAAGAAGACAAAAGAGUUAGUCAAAGGGGGUACAGCCCCUUUGAAAUAGAUACAACUUUAGCAGAAGGGUCAGGAUCCUACAAUCCCAGGGACCAUGUUCUGGUUGGCCUAAAAGCAGCCACCCACUCAGAAAGCGUUAAAGCUCGUACACCUCAUCCCACCCCUAUUAUUUUGAUAAUAUCAUCUAAGCCCCCUGCACUUUACUGGACCUUUCCAUUUUUUAUGGAAGAGAUUAUGCUAACAUGAGUAAUAAGAGAGCUAGACUCUCUCCCCGCACAAGUUUACCUCGGAAAGAACACACACCGAGAAUUAACGGCCUCAAAGAAGAGGGCAUUGGAAUAGUUUGGACAAGCCACUAGAAAAAUAUCCACACACCCCACCGUUAACCUUACACUAGAGUGCUCCCAGGGAAAGACUAAAAGAAAGAGAAGGAACUCGGCA